CUCCUACCUACCCCUACCCUACCCCUGUCUAUUCCCUACUUCACCUACCCCUCCAAAUCCAACAACUACACUGCCAUUUCUUUUUUUCUUCUUUGACUGAAAAAACAACACCCACAACAAUAAUACACAUAGCUGGCACCCCAUUUUCCAAUGAACAAGAAUACUACACACAUUAUAUCACAAAAACACAUAAUCCACCAAAUACACACUCACUCACGGGAAACUAAAAAAAAUAAUAAUACUCACACACUCUAUUCACAAAUUCCAUCUCUAUUUUCACUCCCCUUUUCUUCUAUUUCACAAAUCCACGCACACACGCCAUCACAUAUACAUACUACCCACACUCCACGGAAUACACACACAGAGGGAAAAAUUGAGGAAGAGAUGUGAGAAAGGAGAGAAGAACAGAGAGAGAGAAUCUGAGAGAGGGAGAUGAAAGAAGAAGAUUGAAAAUGGGAAGGUAAAAUAGAGGAGAAAAACCACAGCUUAGGUGAGAUUUUUCGGCAAAUAAUUCGCCAAAAUUCUUGAUCUUCUCCGGUCUAAUCCACCUGAAAGUCGUCUCUAUUGUCCGUCCAAAACCAGUCGAAGCAAUUCCCUCCGAGAAAUCCAUUACAGUAGUGCACGUACUGCUUGGCGUCGCUCCGAGUUAGGUGCGGUUGGCGGGCAGUCAUUAAAAAGUUUCGGGUUGGCCUCGGGUUGAUUAUUGAUCUUUAAUUCGAGUUGGUUUGUUUGGAUUGAAGUUCGAUUCGAGGUUUCUGCGCGGAUUUUAUCUCGUUUAAUCUAAUAAUAAUUGGUUGAAAGCGUCAUUGAGGUCCAUUUCUCAAUUCUAUUUCUUAAUUUUUUUUACGAUUGCGGAUAUGGAUUUGAUAUUAUGUUCCAUUUGUUAGGUGAUGUAGCGGUUGUGUGUUGAUGAUUGUGGAUUGAAUAAUUUUGUUAAUGUUUGGUGUUGUUUAUUUGAAUAACUAGUCGUGGUAUAAAAUUGAUGUUGGUAUGGGUGGAUGACUAUGUUCAUGUUAAAAUUCAUGUGUUAAAAGAAAUUUGGGAAGGGGUUAAACGCGAUAAAGUGAAUUCGUUGUAAUUUUGGAUUAUCAAUUAUAUUGAAUUUGUUGGAAUCAUGAUAAACCAAAACUAGUAGGUGAAUGCUAAGUCGGGUAGGUAAAAUUUUAGGAAUAGUGUUUUGUUGAAUGUUUGAAUGUGUAUGUGAAUAGUUCUUUCCACUUUAUCGCACAAGAUUUGAAAAUGUAUUCAUUCGUCGAGGAAUGUCUUGAGAUUAUAUUGUACUUAUUCACUGAGGAAUGCCCCGAAGUAUUUUGUACUCGGAGGAGGUUCGUGAUAAAGGCCUGAGGUAUCGGUAAAGCAUUGGAGCUUAGUCUAGUAUUAGUUUAGAAUAAGAUUUACAUUUCCGUAUUUUUCUAUUUUUGGGACUAUAUAACUCGGACUGGACAUAUUUGAUUUUGAACUUUGUUAGAUUUAUUUGUUGCUUGUUUUACGUGUUUUAUGUGGUUUACACAUUUAUAGUAUCAAAUUAGCCGAUAUGCUUCACCGAGCGAUCGUAGUCGAACCACGAGAUCGAGGGGUGCCUAACACCUUCCCCUCGGUCAACAGAAAUCCUUAGCCGGGAUCUCUGUUCGCAAACUAGUUUUAAAGAGUCAAAUCAUUUUGAAAAGAAUUUUUCAAAGGUGACUUGGCACACCGGAUUAUUUCAAGUGGCGACUCUGAGUUUCUAAUGUAAAAAUAAUCCUUUUUCGGAACAAUUUUUCAUAUUUUGUCACUUUAAUUAUAAAAAACCCUUUCAAACUUUGAAAUUAAUUUUUUUGGGUUAAAAAGGAGUUGUGACAGCUCUGGCGACUCCACUGGAGACUUUUCAGGAUUCGAGCUUAUUUUUCGGAGUUAUUUCGGCUUAAUUUGACAUUGUGGGUGUACCAAUAUUGUUUGUGUUAGCGUUUGUGUUUAUUGUUGAGUGCUUAUGUGCUACGUGUUUACAGUUUUUAUCUUAUGUGUUACCACUUUAUAUCUGGCAUCAUUACAUAACCCGAGUCAAUUUUUUCUGCAACAAGUUUUGGAGUGCACGUCAUGUGCACGAACUCUAGUUGAGUCACUCUUAUUUUAGGAGGGGGAACUGUCAGAAUUAUUGAGUGGAUGGAAAUCAAAGCAGCCACUAUCGACCAUAUGCUCCCCCGAACGGCCUUGUUAGUGGACCUCAGCGUAGGUCAGCCUUUAGGCCAUGCUUAUCUGCAUCAUAUUGAGACCUAGUGGGAUCCAUGUGGCCCAUUGUAGGAGACUCGCCUCUAAAACAUCCCUACGUGCUAAAUGUUGCAUCUCUGAGGAAAACGUGAUCAUUUGACAGACUGAUAUUGGGAAAGCAUGUGUCAGAAGUAAAGUGCGUAGGCAAGAAAAUGUUGAAAAAAUGAAAAAAAGAAGAAGAAAAAAGUGAGUCAAAAAGAAAAAAAAAAGAGUUUCGUAAGUUUUUAGAGUUCUUUAUGGUUUUUAAUUUUUUUUCACAAUUCAAAAAUUCAAAAAGAUUUUUUUACUUUUUGCGCUCAUUUUCUCAAAAAAUUAAAACGUCAAAAAGAUUUUUCUUUUGUUUCUUUAGUAAACAUUCACAAUUCUAAAAUUCAAAAAAAAAAAAAAGAUUUUUUCAAAUAGGAGCAUUUUAUAAAAGAAAAAAUUCAAAAUAAUAGAAGUUUUGUACAUUUCAUAUAACGAAAAUAUCAAAAAGAUUUUUCUUUUAUAGUUGUUGAUGUUGAUUUUAUGUGAAGUGUCUGACUAAAACCCCAAAAAGAUUUUAUUUGUUUGUCUUUGAUCGUGUCUCUUAAGUUAGGGUCAAUCUGUUAGUUAAUCACUAAUUGUCCAAUCUGGACGAUCUACGCAUCCCUGAUUCUUCUCUCUCGGAAGUGAGAUACGUAGGUAGCCUAUUGUGGGUUCGGGGAUCUUAGUUUAAAAAAUUCAAAAAGAUUUUCUUCGCUCUUUAUUAGAGUAAGUGUCAUAUACAUAUCUAAAAGAAAACCACAAAAAGAUUUUUCUUUAAUAGUUUCAAGAUUCAUUUUCGUAUGAAGUUCAAAUUCAAAAAUCAAAAAAGUUUUUUCUUUGAUAAUCAUAGGUUUCAUUUUGUAUAGGGAUUUAAACUUGAAAAAUGUAAAAAGAUUUUAGUCAAUUCUUUUGACAAUUUGGUUUUUUUCUUUUCUUUUCGAAGUUUCAAGAAAAAGAAAAAGAAAGAAAAAAAUUUUAAUUGUCCAUUUUGGUAAGACUUCACGAACUAUGCACACCCGAUUCUCCUCUUUCGGGAGUGAGAUACGUAGGCUCCUUUCUUAGGUUCGGUGUUCUUUUCAAAUAAAAAAAGGAGAGAGAAAAAAGGUUUAGAGAAAAGGUUUUGAGAAAGUGUUGAACUCUAACACGUUUGUUAUUUCUAUUUAGUUAAUUUAAGGUGGUUGGUUUGUGGUAUUCUGGUUGUUUUUCCAUGUCACAUCAAAUCCAAGGAAGGGUUAGUUGUGUCCAACAAGGAUAUAGAGAGUGACCUCAUGGAUCAAACAAAGAGCCAGGUAAAUGAGAGUUUAAAGGAAGAGAAUUUUAGACUAAGGCAACAAAGGAUGGAAAUGUAUCCAGCUUGGGCCAGUGAGCUGCCUCUUUCUUCAUUCCUCACUAUUGAUCCUACAGAUACCUCGAGUUUUCCACUAAAAUCACAAAGCUGGUUUUCAACUGUUGUUGAUGCAUCACAACAUGACUCAGAAUUCAUUCCAAGCCAAAAAUAUUCCAAUACUUCCAGCACUUUUCCUUUAGCUUCUCAGUAUAAGCUUGCUACAUUGAUAGCACCACAUACUACCUGUGCUUUUGUUGCUCAACCUUCUACUGAGGCUUCUACUUUGGCUAUCAAUACAACGGUUGUGCUACCUCAAGCUGCUAGUGGAUUCAUGUUCAAUACUCUUGAUGAUCAUUGCUAUAUUUCUGAGCCCACGUCAAUGUUGAUUGGACCACCACAAUUUCUUAACAAGAAGCCUAGAGAUAAUUUUACACCAAUUGGAGAGUCGUAUGCCAGUUUAUUUCAGACAUUGAGAGAGUUGGGCAUAAUCAUUUCUCUCCUUGGGCACACUCUUAAUUCUCGUUCAAAAAAUUUUAAUCCUAAUAUACGAUGUGCGUAUUAUUCUGCUACUCAGGGUCAUAGUAUUGAAGAUUGUCGAGAUUUGAAAAGAGAAAUUGAAAAGAUGAUUCAAGAUAGAGCAAUUAUGGUGCAGAACAUUGGCAGUGAGGAAAACUCUAGUCAUGCUGAUAUGCAAACCAGUGGCUGAGAUGUCAAGCUCAACAAUUGAGAAGUCACCCCUCUCCUUGUUAGGAUGGAUGUUUGGUAGUUUGUUUUGUCUUCUUUUAUAUUUUUAAAAUUAUUUUAGGGUUGUAGUUCGGGAUCUAUCUUGUUUGUCCCUUUGUCGUUUAUGUUCAAACCCUUCUAUCUUUUGUUUUAACUAAAUGAAGCGUCCCUUUUUCCUUUGUGUUUUAAAUAUGCAUUGUUUGUUUGUUUUCUUUACAUAGUAUAUUUUAUGUUUGUUUUAAUGAUAGGACAUGCUUGCGAAAUUUUCAGCUAGAUUUUUAAAUCUAGUUUAAUGAUGAACAUUCAAUCAGAGGGCUAAAGUUUGAAAAAAAAAAUAUCUGAGAAAAUAGGUAGAGUGCUGAGACCUUUGGUGACAAGUUGAAGCCUUCUUUGUAAAUUAAGACAAUUAUUUUGAGAAUCACAAGAAUAACUUGAUCGUUAAUCGAAAGGCAUGUCCCAAUUAAGUCAAAUAGUGGAUGCGUGUCCUUUAUCAAGAGAAACAAGAAGAUAAUUAGCUCCACAAAAGCAUGGAUUAUUCGAUAUGAGGGAUGUUUGACAAGUGUAGAAGAAGUGGUACACAUAUUCAAUUAAAGUUAGUGCUGUUAAAGUGUCACAAAUGAUCUUCAUCUUUCACUUUCAUAUUGCAUGAUAUGUACUUGUAUUUUCAAGGAUUGAUAUGACGAAGACAUUUCAUUCUGAUAUCCAAAUAUCGUGUCAUCCUUUGUUUACCUUAUUGAGCCUUAGUGUUGUUUUCUUUCAUACACCUCUUUUGGAAUCAAGAUAGAGUCAGCAAAACUCAAAGAAAAGUGUUGAGCAAAAGAAUAAAGUCAGAAAGUUUCAAAAAAAAGAAGAGAGAAAAAUGUGUUCAAAAAGAAAGAAAAGAGCAUCAAGAAAAGUAGAGUCAAAAAAAUUGUGAAGAAAAAAAGUCAAUAAAAGAGAAAAAUAAAAAAAUCAGAAUCAAUCAAAACAACAAGCUUCCAGAACUACGUGUGACCUGAUUCUCCUCUAUCGGGGGUGAGAUAUGUAGGCUGCCCUAUUCGAGGCUCGGUCCAACCAAAUAAAUAAUUUAGAAUUGCCCAAUCAACAGAAACUGGGGCAUGAGUUAAUUCUCAUUGUUUGAGUCGAUUCCAAAAGUUGUAAGUCCUACCCCAUUUCAAGUGUCAUUUGAACCUCAUGCCAUCCUUUCAUUCAUACCUUAACCAAAAGCCGAGUUACAACCAAAGAAAGACCUUCAGAUUAAUCUUUGAAGAUGUUAAGGCUAAGCAGACAAUGGAUAUGAGGAUGCAUUUGGGGAACUACUUGUCUUCCACAACAUAAGGAAUCAAGAGAGAAAUAAAAAUAAGAGAUCCUUAUUGGUGAAAACCCUCACGGGCACCGUAGGAAGAUGGUAAGUUGAGACAAAUAAAAAUGACAGAGUCUUAUUGGUGAAAAUUCUCAAGGGCACCAUAAGGCAAUGGUGAGCCGAGAGAAAAAUAAGAGAGGCUUGUUGACAAAAACUCUUCAAGUUGCCACUAGCCAAAUGAGGUCUUCAGAUGAAAUUGGCCAAAGGAAGCAACUCAGUUUCGGCGUCAUUAACUCAACAACAAUUUGUGAGAGUUUUGGAUGGAAAGAUCAGACAAUUUAAUCCAAAAUGCAUGUCAUAAUUAUUGAGUUGACUGUCAUUUUCAGAUAAACUUUUCUUUUAUCUUUUUCAAAGGGGACAUUCAUUGUCGUUUCUUUCUUCUCUAUAAUUAUAUUUUUAUUUUCUUGAGUCAGUUAUUUAAAUAAAAUAAAAAUUAUUGUCAUUUUUCUCUUAUCUUUGAGUCCAGUCCAUAUCUAAACAAAUGAGAAAGAAUUUCAAAAUCGGCUACUAGAUUCUUCAAUUGCACAAAGCAAGACAAAAGGUCAGCACAUGAAAGGGACAUAAUUGUGAGCUGAAAUAAUUAGGCAUGCAAAAGUUUUGUCAACAGACAAGUCUGGGAACUCAGAAAAAUACCAAGGUUUAAAGGGUUUACCCAAGAAGCAUGACAAAGCAGAGAUACUGUGUUUAUUUCAGAGUCACUCUUAAUAAUCUGAGUUUGAGUCAAUAACUGCGACAAAGUAGGGGAAAGUGCUAGAAAUCUAAAAUAAAAUGAAGGGAAUGAACACUGGACUAGGUGUUGGGACAGCCAAGUGCUGCAAGCCACCACUAAGUUUUUAACUGACAAAUUUUCUUAGUUGAAACAAGGGCAAAUUCGCUUCACUUAAUUCAGCGCCCAUUGGAAAGGUACAUCCUUGAAAAUUUAUUUUAUGUUCAAGACCCUCUCGGAAAAUGAGAAUUCACUUUAUGUUCAAGACCCUCCUGAAAAAUGGGAAUUUACUUUACGUUCAGGACCUUCCUGAAAAAUGAAAAUCUACUUUAUGUCCAGGACCCUCCUGAAAAAUGGGAAUCUACUUUAUGCUCAGGAACCUCCUGAAAAAUGGAAGUUUACUUUAUGUUCAGGACCAUCCUGAAAAAUGGGAAUUUACAUUUUGUUCAGGCACCUUCUGAAAAAUGGAAAUUUACUUUAUGUUCAGGACCCUCCUGAAAAAUGGAAAUUUAUUUUAUGUUCAGGACCCUCCUGAAAAAUGGGAAUUUACUUCAGUUCAGAACCCUCCUGGAAAAUGGGAAUUUAAUUUGUGUUUAGGACCCUCCUAGAGAAUGGGAAUCUACUUUAUAUUCAGGAUCCUCUUGAAAAAUGAAAAUUUAUUUUAUGUUCAAGACCCUUCUGAAAAAUGGAAAUUUAAUUUAUAUUAAGGACCCUCCUGAAAAAUGGAAAUUUAUUUUAUGUUCAGGACCUUCCUAAAAAAUGACAAUUUAUUUUAUGUUUAGGACCCUCCUGGAAAAUAGCAAUUUACUUCAUGUCAGGACCCUCCUGGAAAAUGGGAACUUACUUUCAUUUAGGACCCUCCUGAAAAAUGGAAAUAUACUUCAAUUCAAGACCCUCCUGAAAAAUAAGAAUUUACUUAUGUUCAGGACCCUCCUAGAAAAUAGAAAUUUAUUUUAUGUUCAGGACCCUUCUAGAAAAUAGAAAUUUAUUUUAUGUUCAGGACCCUCCUGAAAAAUGAAAAUCUACUUUAUGUUCAAGACCCUCCUAAAAAAUAAAAAUUUACUUUAUGUUCAGUAUCCUCCUAGAAAAUAAGAAUUCACCUUAUGUUCAGGGCCCUCCUAGAAAAUGGUAAUUUAUCUUAUGUUUCGGAUCCUCCUGAAAAAUAGAAAUCUACUUUAUGUUCAGGACCCUCCUGGAAAAUUGGAAGGUACUUUAUGUUCAAGACCCUCCUGCAAAAUGAUAAUUCACCUUAUGUUUCGGACCCUCUUGGAAAAUGAGAAUUUAUUUUAUGUUAAGGACCCUCCUGAAAAAUAGGACAUUACUUUAUGUUCAAGACCCUCCUAAAAAAUGGGAAUUUACUUUAUGUGCAGGACCCUCUUGGAAAAUGAGAAUUUACUUUAUGUUCAGGACCCUCCUGAAAAAUGGGACAUUACUUUAUGUUCUGGACCCUCCUGAAAAAUAGGAUUUUACUUUACGUUCAAGACACUCCUGAAAAAUGAGAAUUUACUUUACGUUCAGGACCUUCCUGAAAAAUGGGAAUUUACUUUAUGUUCAGGAUCCUCCUGGAAAAUUAAAAUUUUCUUUGUGUUCAAGAACCUUUUGGAAAAUGAGAAAUUUGCUUUAUGUUUAGGACCCUUCUGAAAAAUGGGUAUUUACUUUCAUUCAGGACCCUCCUGAAAAAUGGGAAUCUCAUUUAUGUUCAGGGCCCUGCUGGAAAAUGAGAAUUUACUUUAUGUUCAGGACCCUCCUGAAAAAUGAGAAUUUACUUAUGUUCAGGAUCCUCCUAGAAAAUGGAAAUCUACUUUAUGUUUAGGAUUCUCCUGAAAAAUGGGAAGUUAAUUUACUUUAUAUUCAGGACCCUCUUGAAAAAUGGAAAUUUACUUUAUGUCUAGGACCCUCCUGGAAAAUGAAAAUUUACUUUAGGUUCAAGACCCUCUUGAAAAAUGGAAAUUUACUUUAUGGUCAGGGCCUUUCUAAAAAAUGGGAAUUUAUUUCAGUUUCAGGACCCUCCUGGAAAAUGAAAAUUUAUUUUAUGUUCAGGACCCUCCUGAACAAUGGGAAUCUAGUUUAUGUUAAGGACCUUCCUGAAAAAUGAGAAUCUACUUUAUGUUCAGGACCCUCCUGAAAAAUGGGAAUUUACUUUAUGUUCAUGACCCUCCUGGAAAAUGGAAAUUUACUUUAUGUUCAAGGCCCUACUGGAAAUGGGAAUUUACUUUAUGUUCAGGACCCUCCUGGAAAAUGAGAAUUUUCUUUAUGUUCAGGACCCUCCUGGAAAAUGAGAAUUUAAUUUAUGUUCAGGACCCUCCUGGAGAAUGGGAAUCUACUUAAUGUUCAGGACCUUCCUGGAAAAUGAAAAUCUACUUUAUGUUCAGGACCCUCCUGAAAAAUGUGAAUUUAGUUUAUGUUCAGGACCUCCUGGAAAAUGAAAAUUUAUUUUAUAUUCAGGAUCCUCCUGAAAAAUGGAAAUUUAUUUUAUGUUCAGGACUCUUUUAAAAAAUAAAAAUUUACUUUAUGUACAGGACCCUCCUGAAAAAUGGAAACUUACUUUCAUUCAAGACACUCCUGGAAAAUGAGAAUAAUCUUCAAUUCAGGACCUUCCUGGAAAAUGAGAAUUUACUUAUGUUCAGGACCCUCCUGAAAAAUGAAAAUUUAUUUUAAGUUCAGGACCCUCCUAGAAAAUAGAAAUCUACUUUAUGUUUAGGACCCUCCUGGAAAAUGAAAAUUUACUUUAUGUUCAGGAUCCUUCUGGAAAAUAAGAAUUCACCUUAUGUUCAGGUCUCUUCUGGAAAAUGAGAAUUUAUUUUAUGAUCAGGAUCCUCCUGAAAAAUGGAAAUCUUCUUUAUGUUUAGGGCCUUCCUAGAAAAUGGGAAUGUACUUUUUGUUCAGGACUCUCCUGAAAAAUGGGAAUUCACCUUAUGUUCAGGAUCCUCCCUGAAAAUGAAAAUUUAUUUUAUAUUCAGGAUCCUCCGGGAUAAUGGGACAUUACUUUAUGUUCAAGAUCCUUCUGAAAAAUGGAAAUUUACUUUAUGUUCAGGACCCUCCUGAAAAAUAGGAAUUUACUUUAUGUUCAGGACCCUCCUAGAAAAUGGGACAUUACUUUAUGUUCAAGACCCUCCUAAAAAAUGGGAAUUUACUUUAUGUUCAGGACCCUCCUAGAUAAUGGGAAUUUACCUUAUGUUCAGGACCCUCCUGGAAAAUGAGAAUUUACUUUAUGUUCAGGACCCUCCUGAAAAAUGGAAAUUUACUUUAUGUUCAAGACCCUCCUGGAAAAUGGGACAUUACUUCAAUUCAGGACCCUCCUGAAAAAUGGGAAUUUACCUUAUGUUUAGGACCCUCCUGGAAAAUAGGACAUUACUUUCAGAAAAAGGAAAUCUUUCUUUGUCAUUACAUAUGCUUGAGAUGAUUUUUCUUACUAGUUUUAAUGUGAUUUCAGGAGCCCGCUUGGAGAAUAGGGUGAUGAAAUUAAACGUCAGGAGCCCGCCUGAAGAACAAGGUGAUAAAACUGAAAAGUGAUGAAAUAGCAAGUCAGGAGCCCGCCUUAAGAACAGGGUGAUGAAAUUGAAAGGUGAUGAAAUAUCAAGUCAGGGACACACCUGAAGAAUAGGGUGAUGAAAUUGAAAGUCGAGUAACAAAGUGAAUAAAUAAAAAGCCAAGCAAUAAGAUGAAAAAUUUCAAGUCAGGAGCCCGCCUGAAGAAUAGGGUGAAGAAUUUCAAAUCCAAGUUCAAGUUCACAGAUACCACCUGCAGAACAUGGCCAACUUUGAGUUCAUCUCCAACGCCAAAUUUUGUAUGGAGAAAAAAUCUAUCUUCAAGUUCAAUUGAAAGAAGAUUAGAUCUUUUAUCACUUUUGAAAACAUCGGAAACCCAAGACAAGAAUCAAAAGAUGAUGCAUAAAUAGGAUUUUUAUAAUUUCAUUUAUCUUUUAACUUGUAAUUUUUAUUUUGAUAUAAUGGUAGGGCCGCAGAUCGGAACGUCAACGGGACCUCACUCGACUCUCCAACUCGGUAUAGUCCAUCUCCUUUUCAACCCUGGAACUACAUGUGUCUUGACUCUCUCAUAACUCGGGAUAGGUUGGAUAGCCAAAUCAAGACUCGGUUGCCCAUCUUCCUUGUGUUUAUUUCUUCUGAAUAAGGGUCGGUCAAAAUUUUAUCUCGUUGUCUACUUCUUUGUCUGAAAACACUUUGUGUUUACAUCCAAAGAGGGGAAUAAUGUAGACACGUAAUUUUGUCCACUCCAAAAAUUAAUUUCUACUCAUUUCACCUCUCCCUACCCUACCCCUACCUACCCCUACCUAUUUUCUACUUCACCUACCCCUCCUAAUCCAACAACUACACUGCUAUUUCUUUUUUUUUUUUCUUCUUUAACUAAAAAACAACACCCACAACAAUAAUACACAUAGCUGGCACCCCAUUUUCCACUGAACAAGAAUACUACACACACUACAUCACAAAAAUACACAAUCCACCAAAUACACACUCACUCACGGGAAACUAAAUAAAAAUAAUAAUACUUACACACUCCAUUCAUAAAUUCCAUCUCUAUUUUCACUUACCUUUUCUUCUGUUUCACAGAUCCAUGCACACAUGCCAUCACAUAUACAUACCCAUACUCAACGGAAUACACACACAGAGGGAGAAAUAGAGGGAGAGAUGUGAGAGAUGAGAGAAGAAUAGUGAGAGAGAAUUCGAGAGAGGGAGAUGGAAGAAGAAGAUUGAAAAUGGAAAGGUAAAACAGAGGAGAAAAACCACAGC
rnacentral:lncRNA from 1 species